rnacentral:sRNA from 2 species
AGGCGUUGCAAGUUCCCGAAAGGAUUUGUUAGAAUUUCUAUUAUUUUUAACAAAGAUGCCUUGUAACCAAAUAAAAUUAGGGGGAAUACAUUAUG